rnacentral:misc_RNA from 1 species
GCGCUCUGUUGCAGAUGCGAAGUAUUUUCCAGAGGUUGGAUUGAUAUUUGCAUCUGCCAUACAGUCAAGGCAAACAACCUUGCAACCUCUUCCGGACCAACUAUUCAGGCUGUAAUCAAAAUUUGCAUUUACUAUGAUCUUCUCAUCAUCAGUACAACUGGAUGUUGGUCUAGAACUUUCAUAAUCAGUGCAACCGGGGGAAGUGAUGAUCACUGAUUUUAUGAGCAGGUCAGAUCCAGGUGAAGGUCCCUCGAGAUAAAAGACAACUUGAUCGGGCAUAGUUGACAGUGAAAAUGAACCUUCCAACAUAUGCCAACCCUCCCCCAUAACAGAUUUUUUUGAAAUAAAUAAAUAGUCUGUAUUUGC